AUGGCUCAGAACGAACGCUGGCGGCGCGUUUAAGCAUGCAAGUCGAGCGGCAAGGGCCUUCGGGCCCCUAGAGCGGCGGACGGGUGAGUAACACGUGGACAAUCUGCCCCCCGGCCCGGGAUAGCCCAGGGAAACCUGGAUUAAUACCGGAUGAGACGGGACCCGCGAUGGCGGGACCCGGGAAAGGCGCUGCGGCGCCGCCGGGGGAUGAGUCUGCGUCCCAUUAGCUAGACGGCGGGGUAACGGCCCACCGUGGCGACGAUGGGUAGCCGGCCUGAGAGGGUGGACGGCCACAUUGGAACUGAGACACGGUCCAGACUCCUACGGGAGGCAGCAGCUAAGAAUCUUCCGCAAUGGGCGAAAGCCUGACGGAGCCGACGCCGCGUGAACGAAGAAGGCCGUGAGGUUGUAAAGUUCUUUUCGGGAGGGGAACAACCGUGGCAGGGAAUGGCCGCGGGAUGACGUGAAUCCCGGAAUAAGCCCCGGCUAACUACGUGCCAGCCGCAGC
rnacentral:rRNA from 1 species